GCGCACGCGCAACCUAACGCGGGACUGCCAGCAACUUCCGGGCGUUUACAGGCAGGCAGGUCAGUGAUGUGUCCUAAGGGUCCGACCGACCUAGAUACCCCUCUUUGAUUCCUCCUCUUGGGAUUAGUGUCCAUCUCUGGAAGCAGGAUCCAGGAGGACGGGAGGGGCCGCUGCGGACCGCAGUCGCUCCACCUGGAGGAGACACCAGAAGGAAGACAGCCUGAGGGACGCAGCGAUCCCCGGCUCCUACCGGCGCCACGCGCACGCGCACGCGCACGCGCACAGGGAGUCAGCUGGCUGCGCGGGAGGUCACGGGAAGUGGGGCGGUGCCCAGACAGCUGGAGGGAAGGAGGUGUCAGGCGGGGAGAGACGCAAACGGCGGGACCAGCAGCGACGGUAGCAGCAGCAUGGCCGCGAUCUAUGGGGGUGUAGAGGGGGGAGGCACACGAUCCAAGGUCCUUUUAGUCUCAGAGGAUGGGAAGAUCCUGGCAGAAGCAGAUGGACUGAGCACAAACCACUGGGUAAAAACCAUACUGAGGGGAUCAGAGGGCUUG
rnacentral:sRNA from 1 species